CGGUUAAAAGCUCGUAGUUGGAUCUGUGUCUAACGGCGUCGGUUCAUCGCUCGCGAUGUAACUGGCGCGCCAGUUGGACGUCCUGCCGGUGGCGGACCGGGCUGGCGGAUGUGUGUAGGUCUUCCGAAGCACUCUGUCGGUUCCGACCGCCGAUCCAAUCCCGCCGCGGUGCUCUUCACUGAGUGUCGAGGUGGGCCGGCACGUUUACUUUGAACAAAUUAGAGUGCUUAAAGCAGGCUGAUUUCUGCCUGAAUACUGUGUGCAUGGAAUAAUGGAAUAGGACUUCGGUUCUAUUUUGUUGGUUUUAAGAACCCGAAGUAAUGAUUAAUAGGGACAGGCGGGGGCAUUCGUAUUGCGACGUUAGAGGUGAAAUUCUUGGAUCGUCGCAAGACGUACCUAAGCGAAAGCAUUUGCCAAGUAUGUCCUCGUUAAUCAAGAACGAAAGUUAGAGGUUCGAAGGCGAUCAGAUACCGCCCUAGUUCUAACCAUAAACGAUGCCAGCCAGCGAUCCGCCAAUGUUCCUCCGAUGACUUGGCGGGCAGCUUCCGGGAAACCAAAGCUUUUGGGUUCCGGGGGAAGUAUGGUUGCAAAGCUGAAACUUAAAGGAAUUGACGGAAGGGCACCACCAGGAGUGGAGCCUGCGGCUUAAUUUGACUCAACACGGGAAACCUCACCAGGCCCGGACACUGGAAGGAUUGACAGAUUGAUAGCUCUUUCUUGAUUCAGUGGGUGGUGGUGCAUGGCCGUUCUUAGUUGGUGGAGCGAUUUGUCUGGUUAAUUCCGAUAACGAACGAGACUCUAGCCUACUAACUAGGCGUUUCUGGUAUCCACAAUAGUGCUACCAGCGAACAAAUUUCUUCUUAGAGGGACAGGCGGCUUCUAGCCGCACGAGACUGAGCAAUAACAGGUCUGUGAUGCCCUUAGAUGUCCUGGGCCGCACGCGCGCUACACUGAAGGAAUCAGCGUGUCCUCCCUGGCCGAAAGGCCCGGGUAACCCGUUGAACCUCCUUCGUGCUAGGGAUUGGGGCUUGCAAUUGUUCCCCAUGAACGAGGAAUUCCCAGUAAGCGCGAGUCAUAAGCUCGCGUUGAUUACGUCCCUGCCCUUUGUACACACCGCCCGUCGCUACUACCGAUUGAAUGAUUUAGUGAGGUCUUCGGACCGGUGCGCGUUAAGCGCCUGGUGUGAUUUUCGCUGUGCUGGGAAGAUGACCAAACUUGAUCAUUUAGAGGAAGUAAAAGUCGUAAC
rnacentral:rRNA from 1 species